GGGGAUUUAGCUCAGCGGUAGAGCACUUGCUUAGCAAGCACAAGGCCCUGGGUUCGGUCCCCAGCUCCG
rnacentral:tRNA from 1 species